AAACCCUAAUUCUCUCUAAGCGCCGUCAAGAGUUUGGUUUUGCGAUUGUGGUCCCUCCGGUGGCUGGCUAUCAACGCCGGUGCCGGAGGGAGCCCGCCUUCUUUUUCCUUGCUUUGUAUGUUCUUUGUCUGUGGGAAUCGUUGUUUCCGAAACUUGAAUCUUCUUCGUAGGCGAGCUAUGGUGGUCGUUUGUUCCGGUCACGUUGUGCAGAUCUGGAUGAGGAAUUCCCAUCUCUUCUGAGAUUGAGGAUAGAUCUGUGUGAUUCGUGUUGUUGUUUUGCGGCUCCUUCUUCCGUCAUCUCCCUUCCGGCGGAGGACUACAAGUUGGCAGGAGGAUCUUCGAGGGCUUGGAUUUUGUGUGAAGGAGCAGGAGUGGCCGUGUGUCUGUGCACGGUUUUAAGUUUUGGUGCUUCUGUGUUUUAUGUCUUGCUCUGUCUCUUGGUUGAUGGUUGGUGUGGAGCUGUUCUAGUUCUUGGUAAAGUUAUUGUUUCAGGUUUUCUUCGGAGAGUUGGGUUCAGUGAUACGUCUGGCGCCAGAUUGGAGAUCGAGGAUCUUUUGACGGUGCAGUGCAGCCGCUGGGAGCGGUGCAGGUGCUUUCGCUGACGGUGUUACUGUGCUUUCUUCAACUCUAGUUCCUUUCCUGUCUGCAAUACAUGAAUGGUGGUUGGGCUCGUCUCUGAGAGGCUUUUUGUGUCUCGUCGCUCCAAUAUCCGUUAUCUCUCCGCUUGGCUUUCUUCUUUGAGUUGGCUCCUAUGCAGUAAUCCUUUCUUCUUGUUGCUGGAUAGUAUUUAUAAAUGGUUCUAAACUCUACUUGCAGCAACGGGUGAAGGCGUUCAUUGGGAUAUUCAGUUAUGGUUGUUUCCUUCGGUUCGAGGAGUUUGCUUGUGGUGCAAAGGUCCUUAUAGGGAAGGGUUUAUCCUGGAGCUUCCUUCUUUCAGGUGCUAUGGUCCUGUUCCGGCUCUCUUAUGAUGUUAAGAACUCUUUCAAAUCUAUCCAGAUUACUCUUGGUCAUUUAAGUUUCGUGGUUAGUUUGGCUUAGUAAAGUUGUAGUAAAGUUGUCUUGUUUGGACUUAAGCUUCCGGGGAUAUAUUCAUGUUCCGCCGGCUUUGUUUUCCGGGGAUAUAUCGUUUUUUCUCCGGCUCUGUUUCCCUGUUUGGGCUCUUGUAAAACUUUGAAUGCAUUAAUAAUAUAACUUCAGAGGGAAA
rnacentral:lncRNA from 1 species